UCUCUCCUGCAUGACUAUUUUCAUAAUAAUUCUCUCUUCCCCUUGCUCUCGGUCAUCGCCUGGGCAACGUGUGUCAUAGGCCUGGCCUGAGACAUUACUGUACAGCUCUAAUGGAGACAAUGACUUCACCUCCUGAAUACAGCUCUUGUGAAAUCACAGGCAGAGGGCUGAUGGCAAAAAUCCCCCCCAAGAAAUGCCUAUAACACAGCGAAGAGACUUGCAAAUGCUCCAGCUGACCUGCCAUGGCUGAAAAGAAAUAGGAAGAUCAAAGAACAGCCUUGAAGAGAACAAAUAUCUCAGCAGCACCUCACACUCCUUGCUCACAUACUCCUCUCGCAGGUGAGCUCGACAAGGGCUGAGGUUGUCAAAAGAGCUGGAGGGAGUUAGAAAUCCAUACUCCAGUGAAUUUCAAGUAGACUUGGAUUCAAAUAAAUGUGAAGAUGGAGAAAAGUGAAGCUAUGGAACAUUGCACUUACUGCUCCGUAGAAUGGAAAUCCCGCGGC